AGCUGCAAUCAUCGCUGAACUCAUCACUGGGGUGCGAGAUCGCGGGAGCGCUGGCCGAAGGGUUGGGUGAGCACAAGGUGUGGCACGGCGACGUCCACACAGCCUUGCAGCUGGGAGGAUCAACGGCACCGUGUCUUCCGGGACGGCCACAUGUGCAGGCGCUGGGAUGUCUCAGUGUCCAUCAAGCUCACACCCAGACUGGGCAUCCUGCCAGAAACACUGCGGGAUGAAGCGACACACUGCCACCAAAAUCCCUAUAUCCGAGCAUGGGGUGCCUGAAUGAUGACUUUGUAAUGCACAACAUAUACAUAGAGAGAGAACUUUAACUUGCAAUUGUGAAAAUGUGGUAUUGUACUAGGUGAUGUUCUAGUGAUGUGUGCCUACAUGAUGACUGAGUACACAAUAUUAAAUGUGCAUAUAAAAGUGACUUGCAGCAUGACUUACCUUGACUGCUCAUUUCAACUUGUCCAUCAUUCCAGUUCAGAAAACCACAUCAUUUGACUUGCAAUUGUGAAAAUCUGGUACUGUACUAAGUGAUGUACUAGUGAUGUGUGCCUACAUGAUGACUGAGUACACAAUAUUAAAUGUGCAUAUAAAAGUGACUUGCAACAUGACUUGCCUUUGACUGCUCAUUUCAACUUGUCCAUCGUUCCAGUUCAGAAAACCACAUCAUUUGACAUGUCUUAGUACGUAAAAUGUGAUUUUGCACGUUUUUUUUUAUUGCAAUAGCAAUUAUAUGGUCACUCUCGGCAGGUUUUUG